rnacentral:rRNA from 1 species
GGUUGACCUCUGAAUCAGGUAGGAAU